rnacentral:lncRNA from 1 species
GGGACCCCCAGUUGAUAGAUGAGAAGCACCUGACUUUGAAAAGGAACCGAACUCAAGCAGGCUGCAUCCUAAGCCCGAAGUUACAGGGGUUAACCUUGAGACAGAUCAAACCUGGAGACCCAGCUGCAAAAUUUCAAAUAUCACCUUAAAGCCGUUCGUCCACAACCUGGUCAUUGUUGUGGUUAUGCCAGUCCACGCUCCAGGAGGACUGUGACCCGAGAUAGCCACUGAAAAAAGAGACACAGAUGUCACACCCCCAUCACUCGCUUACCAUUACAAUGUGAAAUGCCUCCCAUAUCAAGCUUUCCUUCUUAAACCCCUGCCCUCAGCCAACCUUCAAAGCAGUUUCUCUAGGUGUAAACCUGGCCACUUCCCCCUGUGGCUAUGGAAAUAAAGUGGCUUUCCAUUCACUGCACUUGCUGAGUUUGCACACGGUAAGCAGCCCAGCCUGCACUGGGUCACAACUUCUCAAUUGCCUCCUUCUGCGAGAGAGAGUGAGGUGCUCGGCCUCCACAAAAGGCCUCAGAGUAAACAGCAUCAAAUCUCCCCCUUGGGCAGCCUUCCCCUAUUCUCAACCUCUUCAGCACCCUGCCUGCACGGAUCACAAUGGUUCUCACUACAGAUGGAGCAUCCCACUCACUGAGGAAGUACCUGCUCAGGAGGGUGUGAUGACUGGGGACAUGAAACCGGAAGCCAAGGAACACCCACCACACCCCUCCCCAUGCUCCGUGCAGGAUGUCCUGUGUUCACGCCAGGGCAGGCACAAGGAAAGUCAGCACGGCCCCAUGUUCCCAGCAGCUCAGUCUCACCUGUGAGUGGCAGGAGUGCGAGGUGUGAGUUGGAUGAGGGCUUUGGACCCCAGCGCUAAGGUGGGCUACGUGGAGCUCCCAGGAUGCUGGGGUCACAGGCCCCAGUGAGCCUGCUGAAAUUGUAGCAGAGACUGUAAUAUUUUAUCUAGACUACAAGACAUAAAUUUGCUGUGUGUUCUUGCACUACCAACUUUAAUAAUAAUGUCUUUGCAUGCCAUCUAUUCUCUCAUGGGCAAUAACACAGAUACAAACGGUCCUGAGUGCUCAGCGCUGCUGGGUUUUGGGGUCUGCUUUAGGGGAAACAUUUCCAAAACCUGCCAUCCGGUGCGUUUGCUCUUCUGAAAAACGUCCCCAGAACCAGCGGCCGCCUGGCCUCUGGGGCGCCCCGCAGGUCGUGUGAAUACACAUGUGGAGUGACUGAAACGGAUGCUUAUGGCUACUUUCCCACCCUGGAGGAGACUCUGCCAUCUGGGUUUGGGCUAAAGUCGAGGUAGUGUGUGAAUCUGAUUUCCCCCUUUAUGUAAUGAGCUGUUUUCCUGAUCUGUGGACCUGUUAUGUCAUGGCUUUGAUGAACAAGAAUAAAAAAGGUAAGUGAGAAAACAAA